GGUGUGACUGCGUACCUUUUGUAUAAUGGGUCAGCGACUUAUAUUCUGUAGCAAGGUUAACCGUAUAGGGGAGCCGCAGGGAAACCGAGUCUUAACUGGGCGUUAAGUUGCAGGGUAUAGACCCGAAACCCGGUGAUCUAGCCAUGGGCAGGUUGAAGGUUGGGUAACACUAACUGGAGGACCGAACCGACUAAUGUUGAAAAAUUAGCGGAUGACUUGUGGCUGGGGGUGAAAGGCCAAUCAAACCGGGAGAUAGCUGGUUCUCCCCGAAAGCUAUUUAGGUAGCGCCUCGUGAACUCAUCUUCGGGGGUAGAGCACUGUUUCGGCUAGGGGGUCAUCCCGACUUACCAACCCGAUGCAAACUACGAAUACCGAAGAAUGUUAUCACGGGAGACACACGGCGGGUGCUAACGUCCGUCGUGAAGAGGGAAACAACCCAGACCGCCAGCUAAGGUCCCAAAGUCAUGGUUAAGUGGGAAACGAUGUGGGAAGGCACAGACAGCCAGGAUGUUGGCUUAGAAGCAGCCAUCAUUUAAAGAAAGCGUAAUAGCUCACUGGUCGAGUCGGCCUGCGCGGAAGAUGUAACGGGGCUAAACCAUGCACCGAAGCUGCGGCAGCGACACUAUGUGUUGUUGGGUAGGGGAGCGUUCUGUAAGCCUGCGAAGGUG
rnacentral:rRNA from 1 species